rnacentral:rRNA from 1 species
AGAGUUUGAUCCUGGCUCAGGAUGAACGCUAGCGGCAGGCCUAACACAUGCAAGUCGAGGGGCAGCACAAGUAGCAAUACUGGGUGGCGACCGGCGCACGGGUGAGUAACGCGUAUGUAACCUACCCUUAACAGGGGAAUAGCCCGAAGAAAUUCGGAUUAAUGUCCCAUAAAAUAACGAGAUCGCAUGGUCAUGUUAUAAAAGUUUUAACGGUUAAGGAUGGGCAUGCGUGCCAUUAGGUAGUUGGUGAGGUAACGGCUCACCAAGCCAACGAUGGCUAGGGGGCCUGAGAGGUAGUCCCCACGACUGGUACUGGAGACACGGACCAGACUCCUACGGGAGGCAGCAGUGAGGAAUAUUGCGCAAUGGAGGCAACUCUGACGCAGCCAUGCCGCGUGCAGGAAGACGGUCCUAUGGAUUGUAAACUGCUUUUAUACGGGUAAUAACCUUUCGCACGUGUGCGGAACUGAAUGUACCGUAAGAAUAAGGAGUCGGCUAACUCGUGCAGCAGCCGCGGUAA